GAAAUGCGAUAAGUAAUGUGAAUUGCAGAAUUCAGUGAAUCAUCGAAUCUUUGAACGCACAUUGCACCCUCUGGUAUUCUGGGGGGUAUGCCUGUUCGAGCGUCAUUUCAACCCUCAAGCCCAGCUUGGUAUUGGGUGUCACCUGGCAGUGGUGUACCUUAAAAUCAGUGGUUGUGCCAUCUGGCUUCAAGUGUAGUAAAACUCUCACUUUGGAGGUUUGGAUGUGUGCUUGCCAUCAACCCCUAAUUUUAUCAAAGGUUGACCUCGGAUCAGGUAGGGAUACCCGCUGAACUUAA
rnacentral:misc_RNA from 1 species